GCACGUUUCUGUCUGCUGGACUCCGUGCCCUGAGAGGACUGUCUGGAUGGCAUUUUCCACACACACCUGUGGCUGCACUUUGAAGUUUCUUUUGAAGGAAACUCACUUCCUUUUUGUGAGGGGGAUCUGGAGUUCAGAACCGACCAAGAUCUGGGAAUUGAGGUCCGAGUCAUGCUGAAUUAUUAUCAAAACAUCGUGAGGUCCCCUGCCGAGAAGCAGAAAGCAAGGCUAUUGUCAAGGACCAAGCGGGAGAGAGGCAAGAAAUUGUGGAUGUUGUAAAGCUACUGAAAAGUUUCUAGCAGACUCAUCACAGGGCCACAAGGAAGGCUAGGACCCACUGGAAAACACUCAGGGGCCUGCAGAGAGGGAGAGGACCUGGGGUCUCACUUACAAAGGCCUGUCUGGCCUAGAACUUAUGGUGAUUCUCCUACCUCAGCCUCCUAAAUUCUGGGAUUACAGCUGUGCACCACCAUGCCCAGCAGAAAUUCAAAUUUAAAAAUAAUCAUUUGUUAAUAAUAUCUUGAAGUUCUGUUCAAGGAAAAUUCAGCCCAGAGAAAUGAGAGAUAGAUCACGUCUCAAGCUACAUUGGAUGAAAUCCCAUGUGCUGACUGAUAUUUUACAUCAGCUCUUUGCAGUUUUUGCACCUUUGGUUUCCCCAUAUAAAAAAGAAGAGGGUAAAAAUUAGAACUAGGAUUCUCCAACUCUACAGAGACUGAGAACCACUGGGCAGCAAUGACAAGAAUAAAAGGCAAGAAGCGAUGGGAAUUCUAAACAUGGGGUCAAGCCCAGUAAAGCUAUGAAGGAGUAAAUAUGCACAACUGGUAGAGGGACGUAUGUGGACUUGAUGCAUUACCCUUUAUAUAUUGACCAUGUUCAUAAAUAAACAAAAAAUUAAGUGACACUCAAGAAAAUUCUUCAGUGUUACUUCUUUUUAUAAUUCAGCCAAAGUCCUAAAAUUCUCUCCUAACUAAAUAACAAGAAGACUUCAAAGUUUUGAAAAUCUCAUUGAUGGAUUAAUCAGCUUUCCAUCACUGGAACCAAAUACCUGACAUACACAGUUUGGAGGAGGACAAGUUUACUUGAUGCACCAUUUUAGUCUACGAUCAGUUGGUUACAAGGCAAAAACAUCAUGGCUGAGGAGUAUGGCAGAGGAAAGCCAUCAACUUCAUGGCACCUAGAGGAAAGAAUUUCAUUGAGUUGAAAGCAAAAGGUUGGCAGGGAUCUGUUACUUUUGAUGGUUCUAAGGUGGUAUUUAGUUCCUUGCCUUCUUCUGCUUUUAAAAACCAUGUGAAUUCCUUGGUUCAUGGCUCCUUACACCAUUUCCCAAGUCAUCAGUGCAUUGUGUAUGUGAUAUAUGUGUGUGGUUCAGAGAUAGACUAUGAAAAAUACCAUACAGAGAAUUACAGUGAAUCUGGGACAGUAGGUAUUCACUCUGUGGAACAAUAUCCAAGUUUCAUGGAAGAGCCUAGGGCUGGAGAAGAAAGAAUCACAUACCUUAAAUAAUGAGAGGCCAAAGAAGGGCAAUAACCAAUACUGACAAUGGCGUUUAGAAAAGAUUUGUGGAUUAGAAGAACUCCAAACUUACACUUAGAUGGUUAAUGUGUAGUUAAAUUAGUACUUAGCAUGUAUACAUUUGAGAAUUAGCAAAAAUAAAUUGAUAAAUAGUUAGAUAUAAACUUAUUAAAGGCAAAUUGCAGGUAUUAUUUGCUAUUGCCAUUUUUUAUGAUAUUGCUUUAAAAUAUUUGUUGACCAGACUUAUACUUCUAAGCUCUGUGCUCAACAGACUUGGUGUGGUGGUUGUUCGUGUUAUGUCAAUUUGACUUGAGUAAAAAAUUGCCUAGCACAGUGAUGGUGAACCUGUUAAAUCUUUCAAUGGUAGCAAACAACCAGUUAUGGUAUAGGUUCACCGCCACUGACUAGCAGAAUAUUACUAAAUUAUGAGUGUGCCUGUGGAUGGCUGACAUGUAGACUAUCAAACUGAAAAGAGAAGAGCCACACAUUUGGGUGACACCAACCAAGAGAUUUAUAGCAUAAGCAGAAUGAAACGGGAAAGAAGAAGAAAGGAUUUCACUUUUGUAGGAGCUUUGGUCUUCACCAUUGCUUUUGGAUGUUGAUCUACAGUUUCUCCAACCUUCUAGUACACACUCUUUAGCCUUCCAACCCAGACUCACACAGUCACUCCACAAUGAGUUUCCAAGCCUUCAACCUUUGAUUGCUGCUGGAUCCUCUAGCUCUCUAGCACACAAAUGGCCAUUUUGUACUCUUUCACCUCUGAUGGCACAGAUUACCAUUGGGAUUUUUCUUUUUCUGAUCAUGUAAGCCUACCUAAUGAACCCUUGUAUGACAAUACAUCUAUUAAGUAUGGAUGCUGUUCCUCUGAAGAACCCUAACUAAUAUACUUGGAUACCCUCUUUUGUGAACAAUGUAGUUUCUCGGAAAGUCCUUUAGGAAUCAACACGCAUUUUCCUCUUUAUCUCUCCCUCUGCUGCACUGCUCCAACCAGAGGCUGCUCUAGCCACCCAGGUCCUAGGGCAAGUGACACAGGCAGGGUUUCAGUUCCCUUGCAAAGGAUGAGUAAGAACUAUGUCAUUAUGGAUAUACCAAGUUACCAAGUUGUUGUUUACAAGUUCCUCAAUUCUAAAUGUUAAAACUAUUUAUACUUUGAUAAGUCAUU